AGUGAACGCUGGCGGUAGGCCUAACACAUGCAAGUCGAACGACAGCACAGUAAGAGCUUGCUCUUACGGGUGGCGAGUGGCGGACGGGUGAGGAAUACAUCGGAAUCUACUUUUUCGUGGGGGAUAACGUAGGGAAACUUACGCUAAUACCGCAUACGACCUACGGGUGAAAGCAGGGGAUCUUCGGACCUUGCGCGAUUGAAUGAGCCGAUGUCGGAUUAGCUAGUUGGCGGGGUAAAGGCCCACCAAGGCGACGAUCCGUAGCUGGUCUGAGAGGAUGAUCAGACACACUGGAACUGGGACACGGUCCAGACUACUACGGGAGGCACAAGUGGGGAAUAUUGGACAAUGGGAGCAAGCGUGAGCCAGGCAUACCGCGUGGGAGAAGAAGGCCUUCGGGUUGUAAAGAUCAUUUGUUGGGAAAGAAAAGCAGAAUGUUAAUACCCCGACGUUAUGGCGGUACCCAAAGAAUAAGCCCCGGCUAACUUCGUG
rnacentral:rRNA from 1 species